rnacentral:rRNA from 1 species
GCACGAAUGGAGUAACGAUUUCCCUACUGUCUCCACCAUGAACUCGGUGAAAUUGCAUUACGAGUAAAGAUGCUCGUUACGCGCAGCAGGACGGAGAGACCCCGGGACCUUUACUAUAGUUUGGUAUUGGUGAUUGGGACGGUUUGUGUAGGAUAGGUGGGAGACGUUGAUGCGGCCACGCUAGUGGUGGUGGAGUCGUUGGUGAAAUACCACUCUGAUUGUUCUGGUUAUCUCACUGUGGACCGUGAUCCGGUUCAAGGACAGUGCCUGAUGGGUAGUUUGACUGGGGCGGUCGCCUCCUAAAGGGUAACGGAGGCGCCCAAAGGUUCCCUCAGCCUGGUUGGUAAUCAGGUGGUGAGUGUAAGUGCACAAGGGGGCUUGACUGUGAGACUGACAGGUCGAGCAGGGACGAAAGUCGGGACUAGUGAUCUGACGGUGGCUUGUGGAUGCGCCGUCACUCAACGGAUAAAAGGUACCCCGGGGAUAACAGGCUGAUCUUGCCCGAGCGCUCAUAGCGACGGCAUGGUUUGGCACCUCGAUGUCGGCUCGUCGCAUCCUGGGGCUGGAGUCGGUCCCAAGGGUUGGGCUGUUCGCCCAUUAAAGCGGCACGCGAGCUGGGUUCAGAACGUCGUGAGACAGUUCG